GGCAAUACAAAGUAAAAAGAAGAGUCGGGAGAGGGAUUCGAACUUUUGACAUCUUGGCCUAUAAUAGUAAUUGUGGUCCUGACAAGCUUAUUGACAAAAGGGAGCUUGACACGUAAAACAAUCUGACAAUUGCCUUCUGAUAUUCUGGAUAGAUGAAGAUUAGGAGGGAACUUGACUUGUACAAUUGUUCCUCUCUUUAGUGGCAUAAAAUCUAAGUUCUUAUGGGACUUACUUUAUAAUGCUGAAAUUCCUUGAGAAGUUGAAAACUGACAGAUGAGCUCACUACGAAGGCCCACCUGAAGAAGGACAUAAGCUUGAUGAAUUAUCUUGAAGACUAUGGCUUAAAGGAGAACAAUCUAUAUAAAUAUAUUAAAAGGCGUGCGAAAACAAGAAAUUGUGCCACGUGGCGCUUCCCUAAGGAGUUUUAGUUCAUGUAAUCUAUAUACAAUAAAAAACUUAGAAAUUGCAUAGUAUAGAGUUUGAUCCCCAAACCUCAAGUACAUAUACUAAAGUUUUAACUACUAGGCUAAGUUGUAUUUAGUGUUAUUAUCAUAAAGUAUUAUACUAAUAAAUUAAAUUUUUUCUUACCCGGGGCAUAGCCCGGGCAAAAAAAAACUAGUUUUACUACAAAUCAAGCAAAUGAUAGGGAUUAAUUUGGUAAAUUUAUUGCAUGUGGACUCUAUAUCAAGGGUGUGUUUACUUCAUCUUUAAAUAAUAAAGUCAAAUAAGUUAUAAUAGGUUUUAAUUAGGUCUAGUAAGUCUUAAUCAGUUCUAAUAAGUUUCAAUCAAUUUAAAUCAAUUUCAAUAAAUUUUAAUAAGGUAGAAUCAGUUAUCAUAAGUUAGUAACAAGUGUUAUGUGUAAUUAUUGGUUGAUUAUUAAUAUGAAAAAAGAUAUACAUAAGUAAUUAGCACUAUUAAGUAGUAAUUAGUGGUUGAUUAUAAUUAUGUUAUUAUUACAAUAUCAUAAUUUUGGUCAAAUAAGGCUAACAUUAAGUAUAAUCAUAAUAUUAAUGUUUUACAAAUUAUUCGUAACUAAUUAGUUUUAAUCAAGUUUUUUAAGUUUCAACCAGAUUCGAUAGUAGGUCCAAAACGUUCCAUUGAGGUUCAAUCAGUUCCGUUUAGGGGUUGAGAACGCACUCUAAUCCCCUUCUUUUCAUUAAAGAACUAGUAUUAGGAUCCGGGCGUUACCCCAAGUUGGUAUUGUGUUUUUGAACUUGAUAUGUUUUUUUUUUCCAUUUUCACUAAAAUAUAUUAAGGAAAACUCAACAUUUAAAAGUUACAAAUAUAAUAAUGUGGACACUUAAAGAAUGAUUAAAAGUUGGUUGAGAUGGUAAUUGUAUCAUGUUAUAUAUAAUAGCAAAAGGUCACGAUUCAAAUUGCUAAUUUUACUUUUGUUAAUCAACAUAGCUUAAACUAUUCACUGUAUUCAAAAAGUGGUAUGUUUUCUUCUUAAUAUUGAACUUGAAUAUCGAUUCCCAUCUGUUAUUCCGAAGGUAUAGGGAUCAAACCUCAUAGGACUCAUUUGAGUAAUUUCCCAUACCCCCCCUCAAGUGAGUCCCCUUCAUCUUACAAAAAAAAAGGCCUAAUUUUAAAUUAAAAUUAGAUGAUCUCUUAUAAGACCGGCUCUUUCUGCACAUAGGUCACAAUUUUUUUUGUUUCUAUCUCUUUGCUUUCUUUGAUUCCACAAUCUCCAUUAACAUCUUACUUAUUUUAGAAUAGAUGAUGUAUGGUUGUAUUAAAUGGUAAAACACUAAAGCUCCUAUACUAUACAAAAAUGUACAUAUUAAAGAUUUGUACAUGAGACGAAGUUGCAAUAUACUUCAUCCGUUCUUUUUAUAUUACAAUAAUUACUAUUUUGGAUAGUUUUACAUAUAUUGCAACAUUUCCAAUUUUGGUAUAAAAACAACUUUAAUUGACAAUAUUGCCCUUACUUUAUCUUACUAAAACCAUCAUUAAUUACUCACUUUGCCUUAUAAAAUUUCUUUUAUUUUCUAAGGAUGAUUUAUCUAUUACUCUAGUUAAUUAAAGAGUUAAUUUUAUGCUAAACUACCCAUUUGUUCCAAAUCCUUACAAAUUGUGUCCAAACACAUUGUUGUAAUAGAAAAACAAUGGAGGUAGUAUUGGUUCGGCUAAAUUUUAAACGGAUAGGUCACCUUUAGUUUUUACUACUUAUAACCUUCAAUUUUGGCUGCUUUUGGGUCAUUUUUCGACUUCUCCGGGCCUGAUCAUAUUUUCUCCCGAAACAUUUAUAGGAGUGCCAACGUGACGUGUAACAUUGCGCGGGUGCUUGGCACCAUUUAUAUUGCCUUGAAAAACCUCUCAACAUCUCAUUUAUUCAUUUCUCGUCAAAUCCAAAAUUGUCUCGAAAUGAACGUAAAGGCAUCCACAUAUUCGUUCCAAGCCACGUCAUGACUCAUUUCCAAUGACCUCCCAUGUCGCUAGGAGACAUCCGGUGGCGUCCGUAGUUCGUUUCCCGGGAAAGUCUGAAAGCGUGUAUUAUGACUUUCAAUUUUGGUUGUAUUUGGGACAUUCUUCGACUUCUAAAGGGCUGGUCACAUUUUGUCCUGAAACGUUCCUAGGAAAGCCGACGCGACUUGUAACGUUGCACGGGUGAUUGACACCAUUUGUGUUUCAUCGAAAAGCUUUGAACACCCCAUUUGUUCAUUUCUCGUGAAACACAAACUUGUAUCGAAAUGAACAUAAAGGCAUCCACAUGAUCGUUUCAAGCCACAUGACUCCUUUCCAUUGACCUCCCAUGUCGUUAAGGCAUCCCGUGACGUUCGGAGUUCGGUCCCCGGAAAAGUCCGAAAGCCUGUAUUAUAACCUUCACUUUUGACUGUUUUAUUUUGGGACAUUUUUGGACUUCUCCGGGCCUGGUCAUAUUAUCUCCCGAAAUGUUCCUACGAAAGCCGAUGUGACUUGAAACGUUGCGUCGGUGAUUGACACCAUUUGCGUUGCCUCGAAAAGCCUCUUAACACCUCAUUUGUUCAUUUCUCGUGAAACCUAAAACUGUCUCGAAAUGAACGUAAAGGCAUCCACAUAUUCGUUCCUAGCCACUUGAUUCCUUUCUAAUAACCUCCCGUGCCCCUAGGAGGCAUCCCGUUGCGUUCGAAACUCGGACGCCAGGAACGUUCGAAAGAAUGUAUACCUUCAAUUUUGGUUGUUUUUGGGACAUUUUUGGACUUCUCAGGGCAUGGCCAUAUUUUCUCCCAAAACGUUUCUAGUAAAACCAAUAUAAUUUGUAAACGUUGCGCGGCUGCUUGGCACCAUUUGUGUUGCCUCGAAGCUCGGCCCCAAGAAAGUCUGAAAUCGUGUAUUAUUCAAUUUUGGUUGUUUUUGAAACAUUUUUGAACUUCUCCAGGCCUGGUCAUAUUUUCUCCCGAGACAUUCCUAGAAGUGCCGACGUGACUUGUAACAUUGCACGGGUGCUUUGCACCAUUUGCAUUGCUUCGAAAAGCCUCUGAAUACCCCAUUUGUUCAUUUCUUGUGAAACACAAAUUUGUCUCGAAAUGAACGUAAAGGUAUCCACAUAUUCAUUCCAAGCCACAUGACUUUUUUCUAAUGACCUCCCAUGUCCCUAGGAGGCAUCCCGUGACGUUCGAAGCACGUACCCCGAGAAAGUAUGAAAGCGUGUAUUAUAAUCUUCAAUUUUGGUUGUUUUUGGGACAUUUUUGGAUUUUAUCCGACCCUGACCAUAUUUUAUUCCGAAACAUUAUUCGGACAGUCGAACUAAAUUGUUACGUUACGCGGGUGGUUGGCAAGAUUAAUAUUGCCUCCAAAAGCCGACGUGACUUGUAACGUUGCGCGGGUAGUUGGCACCAUUUGCAUUGCCUCGAAAAACGUGUGGGAAACCCCAUUUGUUCAUUUCUCGUGAAACCCAUAUUUGCCUUAAAAUGAACGUAAAGGUAUCCACAUAUUUGUUCAAUCAAUGCUGAACUGGAAGCAUUAGAGAUGAAUGAUACAUUGGAAAUGGUUGAGUUACUUGUUGGCAAAACAGCUAUUGGUAACAAAUUGUUGUAUAAGAUAAAGUACCACCCUGAUGGAUCAGUUGAGAGACUGAAAUCUAGGUUGGUAAUAUUGGGUUGCAAACAGAAGUAUGGGCACAACUACUAGGAAACUUUUGCCCCUGUGGCAAAGAUGACCAGAGUAAGGGCUCUCUUAGCAGUUGCUGCCAUGAAAGAUUGGUUCACAAUCCACAUGGAUGUGACCAAUGCUUUUCUACACUGAGACCUAUAUGAGCAAGUCUACAUGAAGCUGCUACAAGGCUACACUCAUUAGGGGAGCAGAAUUUAACUAGGAUCUCAACCUCUCUCUUGCAGAAACAAGGUGUGGAAACUUAAAAAAUCCUUGUAUGGAUUAAAACAAGCUCCAAGACAGUGGUUCUCCAAACUAUCAUACACACUCACUUCAUUUGGAUUUGUGCAAUCCAAGGCUGAUUACAGCUUGUUCACAAAACAUUGCAACACCAUCAUAACCUUGGUGUUAAUAUAUGUUGAUGAUUUGCUGAUUUGUGGUAAUAACUUGGACAACAUUCAGCAAUUAAAAGACAUGUUGUGCACCAACUUUCACAUGAAGGAUUUGGGGAGUUUGAGGUAUUUUGUAUGUCUUGAAAGAGAAUGAUUUACUUAAUGUGAAGCCAUUACAACUACCUAUGGACAGUCAUCUUAAGCUAACUGCAGACAAGGGAGACUUCUUUCCCAAUCCUAGUGUAUACCAAAGGCUAAUUGGCAAAUUGAUAUAUUUGACAUUUACCAGACCUGGCAUUUCUGUCAUAGUCCAAAUACUUAGCCAAUACAUGCAUCAACCUCACACCUCUCAUAUGCAAGCAGCAAAAAAACUUCUGAGAUAUCUUUCUAGCACCACAUCUCAGGGAAUCAUAUUGGAAUCUUCAUCAACUACCCAGCUCAUAGCUUACUGUGAUAGUGACUGGGCUAGCUGCCCUACUUCUAGAAGGUCCACAUCUGGAUUCUGUGUCCUUUUCGUCCAGUCUCCUAUCUCAUGCAAGGCAAAGAAACAAGGGGUAGUUGCUAGGUCUAGUGCUGAAGCAGCGUAUAGGGCCAUGGCUCUAAUUUGCUGUAGUCACAUGGUUAUCCAUACUCUUGAAAUAUCUUGGCCUUAAGCAUCUACCACCUGCAAUCAUCAAGUGUGACAAUCAGGCUGCAUUAGCUAUUGCAGCAAACCCUGUUCUACAUGAACGUACCAAGCAUGUGGAGAUUGAUAAGCAUUUUAUCAGAGACAAAAUUCAGUCAGGUGAUAUCAUUACUGAGCAUGUUGCAUUUGGAGAACAAGUUGUUGAUGUCCUCACAAAAAUACUACUAAUGAAACAACAUCAUCACCUUCUGUCCAAGCUUGGAGCAUUGUACCAGAGUUUCACCCACAAGCUUGAGGGGGAGUAUUGAGAAAUAUUCAGUUUUCACUACUAUUUUUGCAUAGUAUGAUCUGUCCUUAAUUCCCUAAGCUAGCUAGAAUUUUCCUAGCACUUUCCUUUUCCUAUGAGUCAUCAAUUGUACUUUGAUGUGAUGUCACCUAGUACCUUUUAUUCCCGUUGAUUACUUUUGUGACAAUAGGUAGUUGUCAUUCCUUUUUGUCUUAUUAUGCAACUAUUUCUAUUUUUUGCAAAUAGUUUAUGUAAGACUGGUUGAGACAGAUAAAUCAAAGUUCUCCUUUUCUAUUCUUCUUAUUUUCUCUGGCUCCCUCUUUUCAUUGCUGUGCACUGGGAUUCUUGCUCUUUAGUAAUUUACCCUGCAACACUUAUAUUAUAACACCAUAAAAGGAUAUGGAUAUUAUGAAUAAUCAUUGAAAAGUAAUGGUAGGUGUUUCGAGUAAAAACUUGUAUUACAGGGGAUAGAUCGAGAUUAGGGUUAACGGUGGCCGAAUGCUCGAAGAUCACCAAGAGACAUGCACAAAGCGAGAGUUAGACUACCCCGGGGGUGGAUCCGGGAUCGUCCCUCCGACGAUCAAGUCAGUUGAUGUGUAUUAAUUGGGAUGUGUGAGGCUGGCGCAGGAUCCGAGACGGGUGGGACCCAAUGAGGGCUUGCCAUGCUGACGAAGGGAAUUGGAACAUGUGGGGGCCACUAAGGGUUUAUUGGGCCCAAACAGUAGGGAUUAAGAAACUAUAAAAACCUAACUUGAAAUACCUUUCAAGAGGCCAAGUACAUAGCACACAACAAAGAAGAGAAUGUAUGUGAAAGUCUACCAACAGAGCAAACAAUACUAGACAUGUAAAAUCGAUCGUACCAAAUCACUCGUUCAGCACGACUAGAAGAUAAGUUAAUUUGACGAAUUUUCAUUAA